rnacentral:rRNA from 1 species
GACGAACGCUGGCGGCGUGCUUAACACAUGCAAGUCGAACGGAAAGGCCCUGCUUUUGUGGGGUGCUCGAGUGGCGAACGGGUGAGUAACACGUGAGUAACCUGCCCUUGACUUUGGGAUAACUUCAGGAAACUGGGGCUAAUACCGGAUAGGAGCUCCUGCUGCAUGGUGGGGGUUGGAAAGUUUCGGCGGGUGGGGAUGGACUCGCGGCUUAUCAGCUUGGUGGUGGGGUAGUGGCUUACCAAGGCUUUGACGGGUAGCCGGCCUGAGAGGGUGACCGGCCACAUUGGGACUGAGAUACGGCCCAGACUCCUACGGGAGGCAGCAGUGGGGAAUAUUGCACAAUGGGCGGAAGCCUGAUGCAGCAACGCCGCGUGCGGGAUGACGGCCUUCGGGUUGUAAACCGCUUUCGCCUGUGACGAAGCGUGAGUGACGGUAAUGGGUAAAGAAGCACCGGCUAACUACGUG